rnacentral:lncRNA from 1 species
AAAAUCAUACACAUAUCCCUUUUCUUAAUUAUGAACUAUUUAUUUUGUAAUUUUAUUUUGUUCAAGGGCUGUAUCAGCAGCCUCAGCUGCAACAUGUGGACCAACCGUAGCUCACAUGCUACCAACCUAACACAAGGAAAAAAGAACAAAUUUGGUUCAAUGAGUGAUUGCUAACAUCAUAUCAUAUUUGUAUAGUUUCCAUUCAAGCAAACUAAUAAAAAUAUUUAAUAGAGUAUCAAUUUCUACUGUGGAAACAACAUUCCUUCCAUUUCCCCUUUCAACGUCUUUCUUUUUGGGAAUAUGUUGAUGUCGAUCAAGUUCUCCAAAUGGGAACAUCAAAGGAUAUUGCAAAGGAUCAUAACAACCAUAGUAAUAUUGAACACUCUUGGAGCAGUCACUGUGUAACUUCACUUCAAUGCUUCUCCGACCGUGUUCCCAGUUUUGUUACCUUCAAUCCAAAUAGCAGCUACUUGAGAAACUUCUGGUUUAUUAAAAACCCUUUGAUCUCGUCCCAUAAUAGUCUUAAGAAUAAUCUUAUUUUCAUCUAAGUUUGGAACAUCCCUUAAAUUUCUAAAAGAAUGAACAUACGGAUUAUCUUUUAGAUAUUCAACACAUUUCACAAUCAAGUGUAUACAUAACUGCGGAGAAUCCGACAAACAAUUUUCCAAAUCUUUAUCAGUGUCGUGAAAGUACAAUUGUAAAUUUUUGGAAUCAUUUUCUUGAGGCGACAAGUUGUUUAUAAAAUGAUAAACCUGAGCUUGAACUCUAAAAGUGUAAAUUCCUUUAUUUCUUUACCGAGUUCAUUAUCUGAUGUAACCCCUAAAGAAUUAAAAGCAAAGUGGUUGUUGUAUGUUAUAAUAUAUGUCCUAAAUGAGAUAGCUUCUUUUGAUGUUGAAGUCAGUAGAUCUUGCACCAAAAGUGGGAGCUCAUUAUUUGACAAAACAACACGACCAUCUAGACAACAAAAAUUAGUUGUUUCUGAGUAAAAUUUGACAGCAUCAAAGUAACGACAACGGUGAAAGUUUGGAAGGACAUCAGAAGCAAGGGGGACUUGUUGUAACAAAUGUAUGCCUGUCCUAUUAUUCAGUUGUCUUCUCAUAUAAUUUGUCUUACCUACAUCAAUUGAAUUUUUUAAUGCAUUAUCAUUAGCCAAACAACUUGGUGGCAAUAAAACUCUAUUUUUAGUUGUCUUUUUCUUCCAUCUCUCAAUGGUUGCUCUCCUAUACUGCUUCGUGUCCAUUAAAACAUUCAGAAGUAGAUCUGAGGGUGGACCCGAAAUAGCCGACGUCUCAGCUGAAGCAGUUGAAUUUCGUUUUGGUUUGUCAUAAGCUAAACAACUCGGUGUACGUUUACUUUUCUGUUUCUUCCAUCUUUCAAUAACUUCUUUCCUAUAUUGCUUCUUGUCAAUUAAAACAUCAAAAAAUACUUUUGAGGUGUCACCCGAAAUAGAAAUGGCAAGCUUCGAUGCACUUGUAUGAUUAUUUCUCUUUAACUUCCAUCUUAUAAUAGCUUCUCUCCUGUAUUGACUCUUGUCAACAAAAUCAGAACAUAUCAUAGCACAUUUACCUCUCUUUUCCCUCCAUCUUAUAAUGACUUCUCUUCUAUACUACUUCCGGUGGUAUACAUCUCCUAGGACAAUAUUUGUAUUUCCAGUUUUAUCAUUCGUUACUUCUUUUUCUGAGUUGAGCAUAAUUAUGGCUUUAUGUUUCUUAUCUCCAUAUCUAUCGGUUGAACCUAGAGGGCCUCGUUUUCUUCCCGAAAUAACAGAAUGAUCCCCCAUAUUAUUUUUAAAAGCUGGAAAAAAGCUAAAACCGAAGAGCUAGUUGGGGUAAGAAGAUGCAGCGACACAAAAAUUCAAACAACAAGUAUAUUUUGUUUUUUAUUUUCCUUUUAUGAAAUGCAAUAAAAUUAAAAUCUAAUUUUUGGAACCAUUAACAAUAUUUUUUAGAGACAUAAAACACAAAAAGGAUAUCAGAAAACAAACCUAGAGGAUCUUUGUUGAUGAUGAAUAUACAAAGGGGGAAUCGUUAUAACAAAGAGGUUUCAGAUUAUAGAUUUCUUUCCUGAAAAAAAAAAACAAGCAAAAGAAACUGCUUAUAGUCAGAUGAUUUCUCAUUAAAAAUGAAAAUUUGGAAUGAGGGAAUCGUUUAUUAAGACGAAUAAAUAAAAUCACCAGUUAGAAAUUUCAAAACCCUUAUGACUUCAGGACCUUAGAAUCAGAAACAGAAAAUAAACCACCAUUAAAAUAAAUAUUGAUCGAUGAAGUCACCUGGUUGAAUGAAAAGUGAAUCAGACAAUACCCUUUAAAGCUGCUUGUUAAUCCAAUGAUUGAGGUAGAUGGAUUAUCAGUUAUUGAAACCUAAAUUAGAAUGUGGGGAGCAAACAGUUCUUAGAAAACAGGUGGUAUGGAGUUAUUGCAUCAAUAUGAAACAACAAUUAUGUUUCUUAUCUUGCAAAAAAAAACCAUCUAUUGAUCAAUUACAGAGGAGCGCUGACGAAAUGGGCAAACGUCGGUAUAUUGGGUUGUUGGGUAAAGAGAAGUGAUGGAGGUAGUAGUGUACUGAGAAAGUAGGGAAGCGUGGAGGUGAAGAGGUGACUUUUCAAACGAUGACACAUUGUCCCAUUUGGUGGAACCGACUGGACAGAAACAUGUUAAAAAGCCUGUUUAAAAUCAACAAAAAAUAGCCGAAAAUCCAAG